rnacentral:rRNA from 1 species
CCUACGAGUGGCAGCAGUGAGGAAUAUUGGUCAAUGGACGAGAGUCUGAACCAGCCAAGUAGCGUGAAGGAUGACUGCCCUAUGGGUUGUAAACUUCUUUUAUAUGGGAAUAAAAUGUUCCACGUGUGGGAUUUUGUAUGUACCAUAUGAAUAAGGAUCGGCUAACUCCGUGCCAGCAGCCGCGGUAAUACGGAGGAUCCGAGCGUUAUCCGGAUUUAUUGGGUUUAAAGGGAGCGUAGGUGGAUUGUUAAGUCAGUUGUGAAAGUUUGCGGCUCAACCGUAAAAUUGCAGUUGAAACUGGCAGUCUUGAGUACAGUAGAGGUGGGCGGAAUUCGUGGUGUAGCGGUGGAAUGCUUAGAUAUCACGAAGAACUCCGAUUGCGAAGGCAGCUCACUGGACUGCAACUGACACUGAGGCUCGAAAGUGUGGGUAUCAAACAGGAUUAGAUACCCCAGUAGUC